rnacentral:rRNA from 1 species
UACGGAGGGUGCAAGCGUUGUCCGGAAUCAUUGGGCGUAAAGCGCGUGUAGGCGGCUGGCUAAGUCCGCUCUGAAAGCCCGGGGCUCAACCCCGGGAGGCGGGUGGAUACUGGUCAGCUCGAGUCCGGAAGAGGAGUGUGGAAUUCCUGGUGUAGCGGUGAAAUGCGCAGAUAUCAGGAGGAACACCAAUGGCGAAGGCAGCACUCUGGGACGGUACUGACGCUGAGACGCGAAAGCGUGGGGAGCAAACAGG